GAUGAAGAACGUAGCGAAAUGCGAUACGUAAUGUGAAUUGCAGAAUUCAGUGAAUCAUCGAGUCUUUGAACGCACAUUGCGCCCCCUGGUAUUCCGGGGGGCAUGCCUGUCCGAGCGUCAUUGCUGCCCUCAAGCACGGCUUGUGUGUUGGGCCUCCGUCCUCCUCCCGGGGGACGGGCCCGAAAGGCAGCGGCGGCACCGCGUCCGGUCCUCGAGCGUAUGGGGCUUCGUCACCCGCUCUUGUAGGCCCGGCCGGCGCUUGCCGACACAUCAAUCUUUUUUCCAGGUUGACCUCGGAUCAGGUAGGGAUACCCGCUGAACUUUAGCAUAUCAAUAAGCGGAGGA
rnacentral:misc_RNA from 1 species